rnacentral:rRNA from 1 species
GAUGAACGCUGGCGGCGUGCCUAAUACAUGCAAGUCGAGCGAACAGACGAGGAGCUUGCUCCCCUGACGUUAGCGGCGGACGGGUGAGUAACACGUGGAUAACCUACCUAUAAGACUGGGAUAACUUCGGGAAACCGGAGCUAAUACCGGAUAACAUGUUGAACCGCAUGGUUCAACAGUGAAAGACGGUCUUGCUGUCACUUAUAGAUGGAUCCGCGCCGCAUUAGCUAGUUGGUAAGGUAACGGCUUACCAAGGCAACGAUGCGUAGCCGACCUGAGAGGGUGAUCGGCCACACUGGAACUGAGACACGGUCCAGACUCCUACGGGAGGCAGCAGUAGGGAAUCUUCCGCAAUGGGCGAAAUCCUGACGGAGCAACGCCGCGUGAGUGAAGAAGGUCUUCGGAUCGUAAAACUCUGUUAUUAGGGAAGAACAAAUGUGUAAGUAACUAUGCACGUCUUGACGGUACCUAAUCAGAAAGCCACGGCUAACUACGUG